AACGAACGCUGGCGGCAGGCUUAACACAUGCAAGUCGAGCGAGACCUUCGGGUCUAGCGGCGGACGGGUGAGUAACGCGUGGGAACGUGCCCUUCUCUACGGAAUAGCCCCGGGAAACUGGGAGUAAUACCGUAUACGCCCUUUGGGGGAAAGAUUUAUCGGAGAAGGAUCGGCCCGCGUUGGAUUAGGUAGUUGGUGGGGUAAUGGCCCACCAAGCCGACGAUCCAUAGCUGGUUUGAGAGGAUGAUCAGCCACACUGGGACUGAGACACGGCCCAGACUCCUACGGGAGGCAGCAGUGGGGAAUCUUAGACAAUGGGGGCAACCCUGAUCUAGCCAUGCCGCGUGAGUGGUGAAGGCCUUAGGGUUGUAAAGCUCUUUCAGCUGGGAAGAUAAUGACGGUACCAGCAGAAGAAGCCCCGGCUAACUCCGUG
rnacentral:rRNA from 1 species